rnacentral:rRNA from 1 species
GAUGAACGCUGGCGGCGUGCCUAAUACAUGCAAGUCGAGCGAACAGAUGAGGAGCUUGCUCCUCUGACGUUAGCGGCGGACGGGUGAGUAACACGUGGAUAACCUACCUAUAAGACUGGGAUAACUUCGGGAAACCGGAGCUAAUACCGGAUAAUAUAUUGAACCGCAUGGUUCAAUAGUGAAAGACGGUUUUGCUGUCACUUAUAGAUGGAUCCGCGCCGCAUUAGCUAGUUGGUAAGGUAACGGCUUACCAAGGCAACGAUGCGUAGCCGACCUGAGAGGGUGAUCGGCCACACGGGAACUGAGACACGGUCCAGACUCCUACGGGAGGCAGCAGUAGGGAAUCUGCUGCAAUGGGCGAAAGCCUGACGGAGCAACGCCGCGUGAGUGAUGAAGGUCUUCGGAUCGUAAAACUCUGUUAUUAGGGAAGAACAAAUGUGUAAGUAACUAUGCACGUCUUGACGGUACCUAAUCAGAAAGCCACGGCUAACUACGUG